UAGGGAAUCUUCCGCAAUGGACGCAAGUCUGACGGAGCAACGCCGCGUGAGUGAAGAAGGUUUUCGGAUCGUAAAACUCUGUUGUUAGAGAAGAACAAGUGCUAGAGUAACUGUUAGCGCCUUGACGGUAUCUAACCAGAAAGCCACGGCUAACUACGUGCCAGCAGCCGCGGUAAUACGUAGGUGGCAAGCGUUGUCCGGAUUUAUUGGGCGUAAAGCGAGCGCAGGCGGUUCCUUAAGUCUGAUGUGAAAGCCCCCGGCUCAACCGGGGAGGGUCAUUGGAAACUGGGGAACUUGAGUGCAGAAGAGGAGAGUGGAAUUCCAUGUGUAGCGGUGAAAUGCGUAGAUAUAUGGAGGAACACCAGUGGCGAAGGCGACUCUCUGGUCUGUAACUGACGCUGAGGCUCGAAAGCGUGGGUAGCAAACAGGAUUAGAUACCCUGGUAGUCCACGCCGUAAACGAUGAGUGCUAAGUGUUGGAGGGUUUCCGCCCUUCAGUGCUGCAGUUAACGCAUUAAGCACUCCGCCUGGGGAGUACGACCGCNAGGUUG
rnacentral:rRNA from 1 species